rnacentral:misc_RNA from 1 species
GAUGAAGAACGUAGUGAAAUGCGAUAAGUAAUGUGAAUUGCAGAAUUCAGUGAAUCAUCGAAUCUUUGAACGCACAUUGCGCCCUGUGGUAUUCCGCAGGGCAUGCCUGUUCGAGCGUCAUUUCAACCCUCAAGCCCCGCUUGGUGUUGGGCCCCGCCCGCUGUGGCCGGCCCUAAAGACAGUGGCGGCGCCGCCUGGCCCUCAGCGUAGUACAUCUCUCGCUCCAGGGUCCGGUGGCCGCCUGCCAGAACCCCCCAACUCUGUGGUUGACCUCGGAUCAGGUAGGGAUACCCGCUGAACUUAAGCAUAUCAAUAAGCGGAGGA